UACGAAGGGGGCUAGCGUUGCUCGGAAUCACUGGGCGUAAAGCGCACGUAGGUGGAUCGCUAAGUCAGGGGUGAAAUCCUGGAGCUCAACCCCAGAACUGCCUUUGAUACUGGCAAUCUCGAGUCCGGGAGAGGUGAGUGGAACUGCGAGUGUAGAGGUGAAAUUCGUAGAUAUUCGCAAGAACACCAGUGGCGAAGGCGGCUCACUGGCCCGGUACUGACGCUGAGGUGCGAAAGCGUGGGGAGCAAACAGG
rnacentral:rRNA from 1 species